rnacentral:misc_RNA from 1 species
GAUGAAGAACGUAGCGAAAUGCGAUACGUAGUGUGAAUUGCAGAAUUCCGUGAACCAUCAAAUCUUUGAACGCAUAUUGCGCUCGAGGCUUCGGCCGAGAGCAUGUCUGCCUCAGCGUCGGUAUUACCCCUCGCUUCUCAACCCCUGGUUGAUGCCUGCCUGCCUUUGCAGUUGGCUAGAAGCGGAUCUGGCUUUCCCAAUUGCCUUUGGUAGUUGGGUCAGCUGAAGCACAGAGGCUUGAGCAAGGACCCUUAUUGGGCUUCAACUGGAUAGGUAGAACUGGUCUUAGGACCAACUACACGAAGUUGUUGCUUGUAGUCUUUGUCUGGAGGCCAGCAGGAAACCUUUAUACCUUCGACCUGAGCUCAGGCAAGAUUACCCGCUGAACUUAAGCAUAUCAAUAAGCGGAGGA